CAGUAGCCGCGGGAACACGUAGGUGGCAAGCGUUGUCCGGAAUUAUUGGGCGUAAAGGGCUCGCAGGCGGUUUCUUAAGUCUGAUGUGAAAGCCCCGGCUCAACCGGGGAGGGUCAUUGGAAACUGGGAAACUUGAGUGCAGAAGAGGAGAGUGGAAUUCCACGUGUAGCGGUGAAAUGCGUAGAGAUGUGGAGGAACACCAGUGGCGAAGGCGACUCUCUGGUCUGUAACUGACGCUGAGGAGCGAAAGCGUGGGGAGCGAACAGGAUUAGAUACCCCUGUAGUCCCUGUCUCUUAUACA
rnacentral:rRNA from 1 species